GAUUACCUUAGUAACGGCGAGUGAAGCGGUAACAGCUCAAAUUUGAAAUCUGGGUCUUUUAGGCUCCGAGUUGUAAUUUGUAGAAGAUGCUUUGGGUGCGGCCCCGGUCUAAGUUCCUUGGAACAGGACGUCAUAGAGGGUGAGAAUCCCGUAUGUGAUCGGUGGCUUGCGCCCGUGUAAAGCUCUUUCGACGAGUCGGGUUGUUUGGGAAUGCAGCUCUAAAUGGGUGGUAAAUUUCAUCUAAAGCUAAAUAUUGGCCAGAGACCGAUAGCGCACAAGUAGAGUGAUCGAAAGAUGAAAAGCACUUUGGAAAGAGAGUUAAACAGUACGUGAAAUUGUUGAAAGGGAAGCGCUUGCAACCAGACUUGCGCGGGGUUGAUCAUCCGGGGUUCUCCCCGGUGCACUCGGCCUCGCUCAGGCCAGCAUCGGUUUUGGUGGUUGGAUAAAGGCCUUGGGAAUGUGACUUCUUUCGGGGAGUGUUAUAGCCCUCGGUGCAAUGCAGCCUACCGGGACCGAGGACCGCGCUUCGGCUAGGAUGCUGGCGUAAUGGUUGUAAGCGACCCGUCUUGAAACACGGACCAAGGAGUCUAACAUCUAUGCGAGUGUUUGGGUGUCAAACCCAUACGCGUAAUGAAAGUGAACGGAGGUGAGAACCCUUAAGGGUGCAUCAUCGACCGAUCCUGAUGUCUUCGGAUGGAUUUGAGUAAGAGCAUAGCUGUUGGGACCCGAAAGAUGGUGAACUAUGCCUGAAUAGGGUGAAGCCAGAGGAAACUCUGGUGGAGGCUCGCAGCGGUUCUGACGUGCAAAUCGAUCGUCAAAUUUGGGCAUAGGGGCGAAAGACUAAUCGAACCAUCUAGUAGCUGGUU
rnacentral:rRNA from 1 species